rnacentral:rRNA from 1 species
UACGUAGGGGGGCAAGCGUUGUCCGGAUUUAUUGGGCGUAAAGAGCGUGUAGGCGGCCAGACAGGUCCGUUGUGAAAACUCGAGGCUCAACCUCGAGAUGUCGAUGGAAACCGUCUGGCUAGAGUCCGGAAGAGGAGUGUGGAAUUCCUGGUGUAGCGGUGAAAUGCGCAGAUAUCAGGAGGAACACCGGUGGCGAAGGCGGGUCUCGUGGGCCGUAACUGACGCUGAGGAGCGAAAGCGUGGGGAGCGAACAGG